UACAGAGGGGGCAAGCGUUUGUUCGGAAUUACUGGGCGUAAAGGGCGCGUAGGCGGCCCGCUAAGUCGAACGUGAAAUCCCCGGGCUCAACCCGGGAACUGCGUCCGAUACUGGUGGGCUUGAAUCCGGGAGAGGGAUGCGGAAUUCCAGGUGUAGCGGUGAAAUGCGUAGAUAUCUGGAGGAACACCGGUGGCGAAGGCGGCAUCCUGGACCGGUAUUGACGCUGAGGCGCGAAAGCCAGGGGAGCAAACGGGG
rnacentral:rRNA from 1 species